UUACCGAAGCUGUGGAUUGUCCUUUGGACAAUGGUAGGAGAGCGUUCUAAGGGCGUUGAAGCAUGAUCGUAAGGACAUGUGGAGCGCUUAGAAGUGAGAAUGCCGGUGUGAGUAGCGAAAGACGGGUGAGAAUCCCGUCCACCGAUUGACUAAGGUUUCCAGAGGAAGGCUCGUCCGCUCUGGGUUAGUCGGGUCCUAAGCUGAGGCCGACAGGCGUAGGCGAUGGAUAACAGGUUGAUAUUCCUGUACCACCUAUAAUCGUUUUAAUCGAUGGGGGGACGCAGUAGGAUAGGCGAAGCGUGCGAUUGGAUUGCACGUCUAAGCAGUAAGGCUGAGUAUUAGGCAAAUCCGGUACUCGUUAAGGCUGAGCUGUGAUGGGGAGAAGACAUUGUGUCUUCGAGUCGUUGAUUUCACACUGCCGAGAAAAGCCUCUAGAUAGAAAAUAGGUGCCCGUACCGCAAACCGACACAGGUAGUCAAGAUGAGAAUUCUAAGGUGAGCGAGCGAACUCUCGUUAAGGAACUCGGCAAAAUGACCCCGUAACUUCGGGAGAAGGGGUGCUCUUUAGGGUUAACGCCCAGAAGAGCCGCAGUGAAUAGGCCCAAGCGACUGUUUAUCAAAAACACAGGUCUCUGCUAAACCGUAAGGUGAUGUAUAGGGGCUGACGCCUGCCCGGUGCUGGAAGGUUAAGAGGAGUGGUUAGCUUCUGCGAAGCUACGAAUCGAAGCCCCAGUAAACGGCGGCCGUAACUAUAACGGUCCUAAGGUAGCGAAAUUCCUUGUCGGGUAAGUUCCGACCCGCACGAAAGGCGUAACGAUUUGGGCACUGUCUCAACGAGAGACUCGGUGAAAUCAUAGUACCUGUGAAGAUGCAGGUUACCCGCGACAGGACGGAAAGACCCCGUGGAGCUUUACUGUAGCCUGAUAUUGAAAUUCGGCACAGCUUGUACAGGAUAGGUAGGAGCCUUUGAAACGUGAGCGCUAGCUUACGUGGAGGCGCUGGUGGGAUACUACCCUAGCUGUGUUGGCUUUCUAACCCGCACCACUUAUCGUGGUGGGAGACAGUGUCAGGCGGGCAGUUUGACUGGGGCGGUCGCCUCCUAAAAGG
rnacentral:rRNA from 1 species